GUAGGUGGCAAGCGUUGUCCGGAAUUAUUGGGCGUAAAGCGCGCGCAGGCGGUCCUUUAAGUCUGAUGUGAAAGCCCACGGCUCAACCGUGGAGGGUCAUUGGAAACUGGGGGACUUGAGUACAGAAGAGGAAAGCGGAAUUCCAAGUGUAGCGGUGAAAUGCGUAGAGAUUUGGAGGAACACCAGUGGCGAAGGCGGCUUUCUGGUCUGUAACUGACGCUGAGGCGCGAAAGCGUGGGGAGCAAACAGGAUUAGAUACCCUGGUAGUCCACGCCGUAAACGAUGAGUGCUAAGUGUUAGGGGGUUUCCCGCCCCCCUUAGUGCUGCAGCUAACGCAUUUAGCACUCCGCCUGGGGAGUACGGCCGCAAGGCUG
rnacentral:rRNA from 1 species